UCCGAUAUGGUCUAACGGUUAGGAUACCUCGUUUUCACCGUGGGGGUCGGGGUUCGAUUCCCCGUAUCGGAG
rfam:Ceratocystis platani strain CFO contig_00022, whole genome shotgun sequence.